UUAAGCGACUAAGCGUACACGGUGGAUGCCCUGGCAGUCAGAGGCGAUGAAGGACGUGCUAAUCUGCGAAAAGCGUCGGUAAGGUGAUAUGAACCGUUAUAACCGGCGAUGUCCGAAUGGGGAAACCCAGUGCAAUUCGUUGCACUAUCGUUAACUGAAUACAUAGGUUAACGAGGCGAACCGGGGGAACUGAAACAUCUAAGUACCCCGAGGAAAAGAAAUCAACCGAGAUUCCCCCAGUAGCGGCGAGCGAACGGGGAGCAGCCCAGAGUCUGAAUCAGCUUGUGUGUUAGUGGAACGGUCUGGAAAGUCCGACGGUACAGGGUGAUAGUCCCGUACACCAAAAUGCACAGGUUGUGAACUCGAAGAGUAGGGCGGGACACGUGGUAUCCUGUCUGAAUAUGGGGGGACCAUCCUCCAAGGCUAAAUACUCCUGACUGACCGAUAGUGAACCAGUACCGUGAGGGAAAGGCGAAAAGAACCCCGGCGAGGGGAGUGAAAAAGAACCUGAAACCGUGUACGUACAAGCAGUGGGAGCACCUUCGGGUGUGACUGCGUACCUUUUGUAUAAUGGGUCAGCGACUUAUAUUCUGUAGCAAGGUUAACCGUAUAGGGGAGCCGCAGGGAAACCGAGUCUUAACUGGGCGUUAAGUUGCAGGGUAUAGACCCGAAACCCGGUGAUCUAGCCAUGGGCAGGUUGAAGGUUGGGUAACACUAACUGGAGGACCGAACCGACUAAUGUUGAAAAAUUAGCGGAUGACUUGUGGCUGGGGGUGAAAGGCCAAUCAAACCGGGAGAUAGCUGGUUCUCCCCGAAAGCUAUUUAGGUAGCGCCUCGUGAAUUCAUCUUCGGGGGUAGAGCACUGUUUCGGCUAGGGGGUCAUCCCGACUUACCAACCCGAUGCAAACUACGAAUACCGAAGAAUGUUAUCACGGGAGACACACGGCGGGUGCUAACGUCCGUCGUGAAGAGGGAAACAACCCAGACCGCCAGCUAAGGUCCCAAAGUCAUGGUUAAGUGGGAAACGAUGUGGGAAGGCACAGACAGCCAGGAUGUUGGCUUAGAAGCAGCCAUCAUUUAAAGAAAGCGUAAUAGCUCACUGGUCGAGUCGGCCUGCGCGGAAGAUGUAACGGGGCUAAACCAUGCACCGAAGCUGCGGCAGCGACACUAUGUGUUGUUGGGUAGGGGAGCGUUCUGUAAGCCUGCGAAGGUGUGCUGUGAGGCAUGCUGGAGGUAUCAGAAGUGCGAAUGCUGACAUAAGUAACGAUAAAGCGGGUGAAAAGCCCGCUCGCCGGAAGACCAAGGGUUCCUGUCCAACGUUAAUCGGGGCAGGGUGAGUCGACCCCUAAGGCGAGGCCGAAAGGCGUAGUCGAUGGGAAACAGGUUAAUAUUCCUGUACUUGGUGUUACUGCGAAGGGGGGACGGAGAAGGCUAUGUUAGCCGGGCGACGGUUGUCCCGGUUUAAGCAUGUAGGCUGGUUGUCCAGGCAAAUCCGGAUAAUCAAGGCUGAGGUGUGAUGACGAGGCACUACGGUGCUGAAGUAACAAAUGCCCUGCUUCCAGGAAAAGCCUCUAAGCAUCAGGUAACAUCAAAUCGUACCCCAAACCGACACAGGUGGUCAGGUAGAGAAUACCAAGGCGCUUGAGAGAACUCGGGUGAAGGAACUAGGCAAAAUGGUGCCGUAACUUCGGGAGAAGGCACGCUGGUGUGUAGGUGAAGUCCCUGCGGAUGGAGCUGAGACCAGUCGAAGAUACCAGCUGGCUGCAACUGUUUAUUAAAAACACAGCACUGUGCAAACACGAAAGUGGACGUAUACGGUGUGACGCCUGCCCGGUGCCGGAAGGUUAAUUGAUGGGGUUAUCCGUAAGGAGAAGCUCUUGAUCGAAGCCCCGGUAAACGGCGGCCGUAACUAUAACGGUCCUAAGGUAGCGAAAUUCCUUGUCGGGUAAGUUCCGACCUGCACGAAUGGCGUAAUGAUGGCCAGGCUGUCUCCACCCGAGACUCAGUGAAAUUGAACUCGCUGUGAAGAUGCAGUGUACCCGCGGCAAGACGGAAAGACCCCGUGAACCUUUACUAUAGCUUGACACUGAACAUUGAGCCUUGAUGUGUAGGAUAGGUGGGAGGCUUUGAAGCGUGGACGCCAGUCUGCGUGGAGCCAACCUUGAAAUACCACCCUUUAAUGUUUGAUGUUCUAACGUUGGCCCCUUACCGGGGUUGCGGACAGUGUCUGGUGGGUAGUUUGACUGGGGCGGUCUCCUCCCAAAGCGUAACGGAGGAGCACGAAGGUUAGCUAAUCCUGGUCGGACAUCAGGAGGUUAGUGCAAUGGCAUAAGCUAGCUUGACUGCGAGCGUGACGGCGCGAGCAGGUGCGAAAGCAGGUCAUAGUGAUCCGGUGGUUCUGAAUGGAAGGGCCAUCGCUCAACGGAUAAAAGGUACUCCGGGGAUAACAGGCUGAUACCGCCCAAGAGUUCAUAUCGACGGCGGUGUUUGGCACCUCGAUGUCGGCUCAUCACAUCCUGGGGCUGAAGUAGGUCCCAAGGGUAUGGCUGUUCGCCAUUUAAAGUGGUACGCGAGCUGGGUUUAGAACGUCGUGAGACAGUUCGGUCCCUAUCUGCCGUGGGCGCUGGAGAAUUGAGGGGGGCUGCUCCUAGUACGAGAGGACCGGAGUGGACGCAUCACUGGUGUUCGGGUUGUCAUGCCAAUGGCACUGCCCGGUAGCUAAAUGCGGAAGAGAUAAGUGCUGAAAGCAUCUAAGCACGAAACUUGCCCCGAGAUGAGUUCUCCCUGAGACUUUAAGUCUCCUGAAGGAACGUU
rnacentral:rRNA from 1 species